CCUUAAACGACGUCGUUUUUGAGUUUAAGAUAGAAACCCUAAGGAGUCGCGAUAUAAAUACCUCUCAGUCGACUCCAGCCUCUCUUCAGUCUUCUGUUCUCCUCGCGAAGCCUAGCAGCAACUCUCCUCUUCCUCCUCAAAUCGAACAAACAAAACCAAAACUCUCUUUCUACUUUCUUCAAAUCUUCAAUCAAUUACCAUGGAGGGACGAUGUUGAGCUUGUCGCUGAUAGCGAUCCAUUCAUUACCACCGACUACAUGGGAUGCAAUCAAUAGACUUAUAAACUUGACCGUAUCUACCAUUGCCUUUGGAGAUGAUGAAGAUCUGGGAUACCAGACAACUAUCUUGCUGCAAUUCCUUUAAUGCUUAGGAGGAUUACAUCUCGACAUGACUUUUUCAGUUGAUUCCAUGAAACUCCUGGGAACUAGGUCAUCCUUCCAUUUUGUUGUUUUCUUUAUUUAUUCCUCCUUAUGUGUAGCAUGCUAUGAUUUGGUAUGACCUUGAAUUUGUCAUUAUCUAUAAAUGUCAUUGUUAGCCUUGCCUUCGGUUACAUUACAGAUCAUGUGCUUAUGGGAUUAUUGCUUCUAAAUUUUGAUAAAUGUCUCUUUAGGUGUAUAUAUAUGAAAUUGAAGUAAUGAGAAGUAUUUAUAUUAGUGUGGCGUGCUAUUGAGAAGGGUGGCAUUCUUGUGUUGGAACCUCAACCCUGGAAGUCUUGUGAUAUAAAUCGUAAAGCUUCUAAGGUAAUCUUUCCAUUCUUUAAUGAUUUAUGUUGUGGGUUUUCAAGAAGCAAUUUUGUACCAAGAUCUUAUAGCUCUUGAAGCCUGUCAGGUCACAACUUCCUCUGUCUAAUGUAUUUUGGCAAAAACUUUUUUUUUUGUCUCACUUUGCAGGCAACAGAACCAAUUAUCAAAAGUUACAUUCCAUGUGCAGCUAUUUCAGGAUAUACUUCUAGAUAAUGUAUUUAGAAGCUUUUUUUUUUUUUCCUUCAUAUCGAAAAGGCUCCAAUGGCCUUGAUUCCUAAUUUUUCUAUCAAAAAGGCUCUAAUGGCCUUGAUUUUUCCUAA